CUUCUCUCUCUCCUCAUCAUCUCUCUUCUCUCUUGUUCCUUUGUACUAGCUCCUCACCUCUUCUUCAACUCUGUUUCCACUUUCUCUCUACUCUAUUCAUUUGGAGACCCCUUUGCUGAUAUGGGUGCAAAUACUCCCGUGUUCUUCAGUCUCUAAUGGAACAAUAUGCUGUGAUAGGAGCAAUAUUCGUUCUGAUAUUUGUGUUAUGAAAGGGGAUGUUAGAACACACUCUGCUUCCUCUUCAAUCUUCCUUUACACCUCAAGAGACAAAAAUGAUUUCGUUAAUUAUGGUGAUGAAAAGGGAGAUGAGGUAAUCCAGCAUGAAAAGAUCAGACCAUAUACACGAAAAUGGGAAAAGGGUACUAUGGACACCAUUGAUGAAUUAGACCUUAUUGCAAAGAAAGAGCAUUCUGUUGUAAAUCAUCGUUGUGAUGUCCGGCAUGAUGUUCUGGCUGUAUUCCUAUGCAUGUGAUGUGUGGCUUAGUUAUAAACUUAUAAUUAUAUUUGUAAUGUACAGUCAAGAAGCAAGAGGCACACCAAGUAGAACUUAAUGAGUAGGUCAUGCUAUCUAAGGUUGUCGAAGAAUUUGAUCUUGAAGCAUACAAUUUGUGGG